rnacentral:tRNA from 1 species
AUUGAGUUAAUUUAAAAAAAAUAUUAGGAUGUGGGCUUAAAAAUGAGAUUAUUCUCACUCGAUA